ACGGCUCAGUAACACGUGGACAACCUACCCUCCGGACGGGUAUAAACCCGGGAAACUGGGUAUAAUCCCCGAUAGAUCUCGGUCGCUGGAAUGCCCCGAGAUCGAAAGCUCCGGCGCCAGAGGAUGGGUCUGCGGCCUAUCAGGUAGUAGUGGGUGUAGCGUACCUACUAGCCUACGACGGGUACGGGUUGUGAGAGCAAGAGCCCGGAGAUGGAUUCUGAGACACGAAUCUAGGCCCUACGGGGUGCAGCAGGCGCGAAAACUUUACAAUGCCGGCAACGGCGAUAAGGGGACCUCGAGUGCCAGGUUACAAAUCUGGCUGUCGUGAUGCCUAAAAAGCAUUGCAUAGCAAGGGCCGGGCAAGACCGGUGCCAGCCGCCGCGGUAACACCGGCGGCUCGAGUGGUAACCGUUAUUAUUGGGUCUAAAGGGUCUGUAGCCGGCCGGAUAAGUCUCUUGAGAAAUCCAGCAGCUCAACUGUUGGGCUUUCAGGAGAUACUGUUCGGCUCGAGGCCGGGAGAGGUGAGAGGUACUUCAGGGGUAGGGGUGAAAUCUUGUAAUCCUUGAAGGACCACCAGUGGCGAAGGCGUCUCACCAGAACGGACCUGACGGCAAGGGACGAAAGCUAGGGGCACGAACCGGAUUAGAUACCCGGGUAGUCCUAGCCGUAAACGAUACUCGCUAGGUGUCGGCCACGGUGCGACCGUUGUCGGUGCCGUAGGGAAGCCGUGAAGCGAGCCACCUGGGAAGUACGGCCGCAAGGCUGAAACUUAAAGGAAUUGGCGGGGGAGCAC
rnacentral:rRNA from 1 species